GGUCCGCACCAAACAGGUUGGGGACAUAUACCCAUUCUUUACGCGGACACGAUGGAGCAUCUUUUUUCAUUUAUUGGGUCUAAACACUGAGGACGUUCUUUUUGAGACCCACAAUCAGAUUGAAAGUGGGUUUGGCUCUGGGUGCUGUGGUUUUGUGCAUCGGGUUGGGGUCACUCGUGUUGUAUUUCCAGGAGAAUUUGGAUUGGAUCGAUUCAGUUUGCUUGUCGGUAAUGUCUGUUACAACUGUUGGAUAUGGCGACAAGGCUUUCAAGACUCUACCUGGAAGGUUGUUUGCUUCAAUUUGGCUUUUAUUUUCCACACUUGCGGUGGCACGGGCUUUCAUGUAUUUGGCAGAGGCAAGGAUUGACAAAAGGCACAGGAGAAUUGCCAACUGGGUAUUGCAGCGUGAAAUCACCUUUGAAGAUCUGCUUGCCGCUAACCUUAACAACAAUGGUUUCCUUAGGUGUAAGAUAUAACAUAGCUGAUUUUCUACAACAUCUCAUCUCUUUUGCUGCUGGAAUGUGGUUUGCCUUUUCAUGCUGUAAUUCUAUUUUCUGCUUUUGCUUGGCCUCUCAGGUCUGGUUUUAAGGCGUUGGUUUUUGAUGAGCCUACAGAAAGAUAUUCCUUUCACCUCUUAAUCAGACUUCUCAUUCUUCUCUGUGUCCCCAAAAAUCAUAUGUUGUAUACUAGUUAUUUUCCUUUAACCUCUUAAUCAGACUUCUCAUGCUUCUCUGUGUCCCCAAAAUCAUAUGUUGUGAACUAGUUAUUUUCCAAUCUGUAACUCUGGAAUGAUAAAAAAAAAAAAAAAAAGGUUCAUAGACACCUUAAAGUCCUCAUUCAAAAGGGUUGGUCUGCGAGAGUUGAAAGAUAUAGGAGAUUUCUACUCCCUCAUGUGUUACUCCAUGAUCCAAAAGUUUCUCUAUUUAGGUGUAAACAUGUAUUGUCCGGCACUAUUCGCCGGUUCUUUUGAAGACUCAGAAAGUGACAGUAGAUAAUAGCUUUUUGCAUGCUUUUGUUCGAGCUCAUAAUCAUAACCUGUCCAAAUCAAAUGAAUCGCCUUUUUCUGUUUGAAUAAUGAAUCUUUUGCGGUUUCAAUGUGUAUAACCUAAGUUGUGCGGACUCUUCACUUUCGAUGCUGCACCCGUGUCGGAAGAAUCCGACACGCACCGGUUGACAUUUUUGAAGAGUCCGAGGAACAUAGUGUAUAACGAUGAAAUCUCUCCUUUUAGGGCUAAUACAGAAGACUGGCUGUCUUAUUUCUCUUCACUGUUGUUUUUCUUAUUAUUUUUAUUAUCCGCCCCCUGUUCUUAAGUGUAUAUAUAUGUCUUGGCCCUUGAUUGGGUACACUCAAGUUACCAAGACAAGAAUAGUGAACCUGUAAGAAGUUUAUUAGCUUACAUUCUUAAAUGAGCUUAUCAUUGACAUAGUCCCCAGCCAUAAGUGGAAAAGAAAUGGGAGAGAAAAGAGUUCAAGAAAAGGGAGAAAAAGUGAUAGAGAAAACUCUGUGCCAAAAAAUAAUAUCACUAAACAGAAGUCUUGUAAGGUAAAAUAGCAUGCAGAAUCGAUUAUUAAAAGAUGUGGCAAGAGAAGCUAAAGUAGAAAUCUAUAAAUACAUAAACUAGCAAAACCCUCAGAGUUCAAAUUUCUCAAAACUUCAAAAUACAAAUACCAAUACCGCUACAAAGAUAAUAUACAAGUUAUGAACCGAUGCGGUUAGGAGACUUCUAACUGUACACACAUGUCUACGAGCCUCUAAACUGAGCUUGAGACCUUGAAAGGGAUCACCCCAAGGCUCAAGUCAAUUGCCACCAGGCCAACCCGCUGGGUGCAAACAAUUUCUGAGGGCCAUCGGACUGGGGAAACCCUGAAUUACCCGUGGUGCACUUGCGGGAAACUCCUUGCCGAGGGCCUGUGCACCCCGGGAUUAGUCGGGGCUCAAAGAGACUCGGACACCCGGCGCUAAUCAAAAAAAAAUAUAUAUAUAUGUACAAUGAUAAUAGCACUUGGCAUGAGUUUGAAAGCGAGGAGGAACCUUCUAAAAGCAGAAAGAAGAAUGAGUUGUAUCAUCUAGUAUAGUGGGAAAGGGAGUAGAGUAAAGUAAGGGAAAAUUAGUAGUGGCUUUAGAGCUAUGAUGUAUUUUAGGAAAUUAGUCAUAGCAUAAAAAGAAAAGAUGAUAUUGCAACUGCUAAUGUGAUAAUUUAUUGAUGUUUUAUUAAUAAAAAAUUGGACUUCUUAAAAUGAAAUUUCAUCUUGUAGCAAAAUACUUUGUUGGGUACUGAAGAAUUUAUAGAUAUGCUUCCAGCUUUCUUAGCAAGCUCUUCCAAUAGUUCUUUUGUUUGGUAUGACAUGAAAGUUGAUUCAGGAAUGGAAUUUCUCUCUUGCCAUUCUACAUCAUUUUAGUACGUUGAAAAGGGAAAGCUAUUGGGGGAUAUCUUUGUUCAAAUCAAUCAAAGUUUUCCAUACUUAAAAAAAAAAAGGAAAGAAUGCGUUACGUUCUUUUUAAACCUUCUCGUGGAGCACUCAGAUAUUCUGGUGCUGAUUAGUUUAGCAUAAAGAGACAAAAGGAAGUGGUGAUCCCUAGCUUGAGACUCAAACUCCAGAAGCCGACCUGCCAAUCAGAGCCAAAUUUGCUGCCCUAUCACUGCAUUGAAGGAAUUUGAGAAUUUUGAUUCAAGUGUCUUCAUGUCUGGAGUAAAAGUUAUAACUCUUAUGUAGUUGAUGGAAAAGAGGGUACUCCAGACGUGAACGGUGCUGGCAGUUUACCCAAGGUUAUCAUUCCUGGUUUGCCGGAUGAGAGUAAAGAUGAUUAUGCUGCUCCCUUUAGCAGUAGUUAUUGGGAAUGGAAGCCAAAAUUGAAUUUUCUAUGAGAAAUCAGGGUGCCAAAAUGUUAAUUCCCCGGCAAUGAUUUUUCUUCCUGGUUUUGGUGUCGGUUCAUUUCACUAUGAAAGCAGCUAAAGGAUCUUGGUCGUGAUCGCCGAAUAUGGGCAAUAGAUUUUCUCGGCCAGGGGAAGUCGUUACCAUGUGAAGACCUGGCCUCUCCGUCCAAGGAACAACCUUAUAUCGUGUAGGCCUUUGGAGAUGAAGCAGAACCUUGGGCCAAAGAACUAGUCUAUUCUAUCGACUUAUGGAAGGAGCAAGUGCACUUCUUCAUUGAAGAGGUUACUAAAGAGCCAGUUUACGUUUGGGGAAUUCCCUUGGUGGGUAUGUGUUUGUGUUGCUCUCCUCUUUAAGAGUUCACCAGAAGUUCUGUACAUAUUCCGUCCCUAUAGGCGGGAAAUGUUGGAUUAUGGAUCUAGCUGGUUUUACCCCAAUGAAUCUGAUAGUACGGUAAGUUCUUGUACCUGCAACAUAUGCAUCUAUGUAAAACGUAGGGUCUAAUGUGUUGUAUGAAUGCGCCUUCUAGCGAUUAACAUAUUUAUUUUGUUCGAUUAAUUACUGAGCCGCUCUGUUCAGGACCUAGUAACUAGGCCACUUGUCCGCCCCUCCCUGUAUUUUAUGAGAUUGGAUUCACAAUAAGGUAAAUUGAAUUUACUAGAUA